rnacentral:piRNA from 1 species
UAACUUUGAACAUGAAGUAAG